UACAGAGGUCUCGAGCGUUAGGCGGAAUCACUGGGCUUAAAGCGUGUGUAGGUGGAUCGUUAAGUACCUUGUGAAAUCCCACGGCUUAACCGUGGAACUGCUUGGUAUACUGGCGGUCUUGAGCCAGCUAGGGGCUACCGGAACAAAUGGUGGAGCGGUGAAAUGCGUAGAGAUGUGGAGGAACACCAGUGGCGAAGGCGACUUUCUGGGCUGUAACUGACGCUGAGGCGCGAAAGCGUGGGGAGCAAACAGG
rnacentral:rRNA from 1 species